ACUCAACACAGCUAAAAGAUUCCCAACAACAUCAUGUAUCAUAUUCAUGUACUAUUAUUGCUCGAUCUCCCUCGAGACAAGGAUAUAUAGAAUUGAAUGCCAUUGAGUUUAGUAUCCAAAGCUUCAUUAGAUUUCCUUGUCGCAGGUAGAUCAGUGACUAAAAGAUGUCAGAGGCAUCACUCCAUAAACGACCUCGGCUAGCAACAAUAACAAGAACAACAAGCGAAGCAAAGUUCUCUGAAGAAGAACCUACAAAGGCUGAAGCAUUUCACAAACCCAAGAUCACCACUGGGGGCUCCACUCAUCCUCCUGCACCACUCUCCCAGAAAGGAGCUUGCCAAAAGCCUCAAGAUUUAACACGGCCUCUCCAUUUCUUGCAUGUUUGCGGUGUAUGCAGGCGCCCACUUGGAUUGGAACAAGAUAUUUAUAUAUAUCGGGGUGACACUGCCUUCUGCAGCAUUGAGUGCCGAGAGAAACAUAUGAAGUAUGACUUCCUAAAGGGUACUUCUCCUUUCCAUCAGUGAACAACCAUGCGACAAGCCGGCAUUGGAUUUGAAACCUAAAAAUGCGAAUCUGGGAUUUUUGUGUGGGAGGCCGCCCUCAAUAAUUAAUGUGUUGCUAGAAUGAAUUCGUUAUUUGCAAUAGAUCGGCAAUGUAUGAAUGUAAAAAAAAUCUCCAUAAAUGCAAAUAUUUUUGCUCAUAUGGAUGCAAUUUGAACUCAAGAAAUUUUGGCUUCUCGUUCA